UUUAGAAUUACUUAUUCAACCCACACAAUCCGCAACAUCAAUAUUGACUCCAUAUUUUAAGGUGUAUGUACAAAUUUGUGAAUGUGCCUGACUAAAAGCAAAACAAUGUAGCCUAACACACUAGCAUAAUUAAAUUGUUUUCGACAAUUCUUGAAAAUAUUAUUGAGCAAUGUUUAAGAUAAACUUGUGUCGCAUUCGGUUUUAUAAUGUUUGAUUCUAAAUUGUGUCCAGUGCUCAUGCGAAAAUUCUCUUCCCACUGAUUAACACCGACAAAUACGUUUACGUGCUGGGAUUGUUGAUGAUGGAUUGUGAAUGCAUGUGAUGGAACCCAUGGAGAAGAUAGAACAGCCGACCAACUUAUACAUAGAUACAAUCUCUGUGGUUGAGCUUUCAUUAGACACAAUAAUAGUGUUGAUUGGCUUACUGAUUGGCCAACACUUCCUGGCCAAAAAUUAUUUUCCUAUAGAUUCGCUUAACUGCUUAACUAAUUCAAGUCGGAACUCGCUUAAGGGAGAUUGGGGGUGGUGGUGUACACGAGUAAUUAGUUUCUAUGAAGUGUCGUGGAGUUUCGGAAUGUAAACAGCAUAUUUCGAUUAUUUGCAUAAUUAUCAUAUGUAAGUAUGUAUAAGUAUCUAUUAGCACUAUACUGUAUAUAUAAAUUCUUUUACAAAUAGCAGACUACAAUAUCAAAAGCACACUGUGGAUAUUUGGAGUGCUCUUCUCUAUGAACUGUUGUUUUUUUUUUUAGAUGCUUGGAAGAACGGCAACAGAAAAUCGAAUUCUUCUAAAUCAUAUUAUGUGUUUGUGUUUGUAUUCGUAUUCGUGUGUAAGUAUUUAUUUAUUUAUAUGUUUCUGCUUUCAGUUUACCAAAUAAGAUGCAAUCGAAUGAGUGUGCAUAUAUGUAUGUAUGUGUGUGUAUAUAAAAAUUUAGAUCUAUAAGCAUAACACUUGGAAUUUGUCUCUCUUUCGUUAUCUCUUUUGCUUCUAAGGCGAAAUAUUAUAUUGUCAAUUCUUUGGCUUGAGCCGAAAACCAUGCAAAAUGACAAAAUAUAUUUCUCAGAAGGG